rnacentral:snRNA from 1 species
UCACUCCCUUCAGCAGCACAGAAACUAAAACUGAAACCAUCAGAAAAGAUUAGCAUGGCCCAUGUGCAGGAUGACACCCAAAUUUGUGAAGCAUGCCAUAGGAGA